rnacentral:rRNA from 1 species
UUUAAUUCGAAGCAANGNGCAGAACCUUACCAGCUCUUGACAUUCGGGGUAUGGGCAUUGGAGACGAUGUCCUUCAGUUAGGCUGGCCCCAGAACAGGUGCUGCAUGGCUGUCGUCAGCUCGUGUCGUGAGAUGUUGGGUUAAGUCCCGCAACGAGCGCAACCCUCGCCCUUAGUUGCCAGCAUUUAGUUGGGCACUCUAAGGGGACUGCCGGUGAUAAGCCGAGAGGAAGGUGGGGAUGACGUCAAGUCCUCAUGGCCCUUACGGGCUGGGCUACACACGUGCUACAAUGGUGGUGACAGUGGGCAGCGAGACAGCGAUGUCGAGCUAAUCUCCAAAAGCCAUCUCAGUUCGGAUUGCACUCUGCAACUCGAGUGCAUGAAGUUGGAAUCGCUAGUAAUCGCAGAUCAGCAUGNUGCGGUGAAUACGUUCCCGGGCCUUGUACACACUCGCCCGUCACACCAUGGGAGUUGGUUUUACCCGAAGGUAGUGCGCUAACCGCAAGGAGGCAGCUAACCACGGUAGGGUCAGCGA